CCACCACCCCAUCCCGCUAGUGCUGCCCUAGUCCUCUCCUCACUUGGGCACCAAGUUAGGUUGAUUCCUCCACUUUUCCACAUUGGCUCUUCACUGGAAUCUCAUGGGGAGCUAUAAAAUUACUCCUUAGAGAAUCUGAAUGAUUGGUCUAGGUAGUGGCCUGGAGGUUGGGCAUUUUAAAAACUCCCAGGUGUUUCCAGUGUUCAGCAAGGUGGAGAAACAUAAGGCCUGACUCCUGUGACUAAGGUUGUACCUGGGGAGGGGCCAGUCCCUAGAUCACACUGUGGUAGCACAGCUGAUCAUGUGUGUGACCAGGGCUCUGGUGGAGUUUGUCAAUUAAAGGAGAGCUAAGCACCAGUGCUGAGGGAUACCAGGGAGCCCUGGAGUAUGAGGAGCCAGGCCAGGAACUAAGGAAGAUGGGUGGGGUGGGAUUACUUGGUGUUCUAGUGAGGUCUCCAACUCCUGUAAUAGACCCACUCUAGUGCUAAACCAAACAAAGCUUUCACUUACUCCAAGAUGCCUUUGGUUGCAAGACGGUUUACUUCAUGUCAUUUAGAAAGAAAACCCAACCUAUAUGUCAUUGAUUAAAAGAUGCAUUCUGAGUUCAGAAAUGUUCAAAAGU